AGCUUGCUCCCGGAUGUUAGCGGCGGACGGSYSWKUAACACGUGGGUAACCUGCCUGUAAGACUGGGAUAACYCCSGGAAACCGGAGCUAAUACCGGAUAGUUCCUUGAACCSCAUGGUUCAAGGAUGAAAGACGGUUUCGGCUGUCACUUACAGAUGGACCCGCGGCGCAUUAGCUAGUUGGUGGGGUAAUGGCUCACCARGGSGACGAUGCGU
rnacentral:rRNA from 1 species